CAAGCGAACAAGUGCAUGUGGUGGAUGCCUUGGCGAUCACAGGCGAUGAAGGACGCGGUAGCCUGCGAAAAGCUACGGGGAGCUGGCAAACGAGCUUUGAUCCGUAGAUGUCCGAAUGGGGAAACCCACUCCUUUUGGAGUAUCCAUGACUGAAUACAUAGGUCAUGUGAAGCGAACGCGGUGAACUGAAACAUCUAAGUAACCGCAGGAAAAGAAAUCAACCGAGAUUCCCAAAGUAGUGGCGAGCGAAAUGGGAAGAGCCUGUACUCUUUAUUUGUAUUGUUAGCCGAACGCUCUGGAAAGUGCGGCCAUAGCAGGUGAUAGCCCUGUAGGCGAAAACAGUAUGAAAGAACUAGGUGUACGACAAGUAGGGCGGGACACGUGAAAUCCUGUCUGAAGAUGGGGGGACCAUCCUCCAAGGCUAAAUACUCGUGAUCGACCGAUAGUGAACCAGUACCGUGAGGGAAAGGUGAAAAGAACCCCGGGAGGGGAGUGAAAUAGAUCCUGAAACCGCAUGCAUACAAACAGUCGGAGCCUCGUAAGGGGUGACGGCGUACCUUUUGUAUAAUGGGUCAGCGACUUACGUUCAGUAGCAAGCUUAACCGAAUAGGGCAGGCGUAGCGAAAGCGAGUCCGAAUAGGGCGUUCAGUUGCUGGGCGUAGACCCGAAACCAAGUGAUCUAUCCAUGGCCAGGAUGAAGGUGCGGUAACACGUACUGGAGGUCCGAACCCACUAACGUUGAAAAGUUAGGGGAUGAGCUGUGGAUAGGGGUGAAAGGCUAAACAAACUUGGAAAUAGCUGGUUCUCUCCGAAAACUAUUUAGGUAGUGCCUCGUGUCUCACCUUCGGGGGUAGAGCACUGUCAUGGUUGGGGGGUCUAUUGCAGAUUACCCCGCCAUAGCAAACUCCGAAUACCGAAGAGUGCAAUCACGGGAGACAGACAUCGGGUGCUAACGUCCGGUGUCAAGAGGGAAACAACCCAGACCGCCAGCUAAGGUCCCCAAAUAUGGCUAAGUGGGAAACGAAGUGGGAAGGCUAAAACAGUCAGGAGGUUGGCUUAGAAGCAGCCACCCUUUAAAGAAAGCGUAAUAGCUCACUGAUCGAGUCGUCCUGCGCGGAAGAUGUAACGGGGCUAAGCCAUAUACCGAAGCUGCGGAUGCGAGCUAGUCUCGCAUGGUAGGAGAGCGUUCCGUAAGCCUGCGAAGGUGCAUUGUAAAGUGUGCUGGAGGUAUCGGAAGUGCGAAUGCUGACAUGAGUAGCGAUAAAGGGGGUGAAAGGCCCCCUCGCCGUAAGCCCAAGGUUUCCUACGCAACGUUCAUCGGCGUAGGGUGAGUCGGCCCCUAAGGCGAGGCAGAAAUGCGUAGCUGAUGGGAAGCAGGUCAAUAUUCCUGCACCAUUGUUAAAUGCGAUGGGGGGACGGAUCGCGGAAGGUUGUCCGGGUGUUGGAAGUCCCGGUCGCUGCAUUGGAGAAGGCGCUUAGGCAAAUCCGGGCGCGGAAUUCAAGGGUGUGGCGCGAGCUUCUUCGGAAGCGAAGCAAUCGGAAGUGGUUCCAAGAAAAGCCUCUAAGCUUCAGUUUAACAGUGACCGUACCGCAAACCGACACAGGUGGGCGAGAUGAGUAUUCUAAGGCGCUUGAGAGAACUCGGGAGAAGGAACUCGGCAAAUUGGUACCGUAACUUCGGGAUAAGGUACGCCCCUGUAGCUUGACUGGCCUGCGCCAGAAGGGUGAAGGGGUUGCAAUAAACUGGUGGCUGCGACUGUUUAAUAAAAACACAGCACUCUGCAAACACGAAAGUGGACGUAUAGGGUGUGACGCCUGCCCGGUGCCGGAAGAUUAAAUGAUGGGGUGCAAGCUCUUGAUUGAAGUCCCGGUAAACGGCGGCCGUAACUAUAACGGUCCUAAGGUAGCGAAAUUCCUUGUCGGGUAAGUUCCGACCUGCACGAAUGGCGUAACGAUGGCCACACUGUCUCCUCCCGAGACUCAGCGAAGUUGAAGUGUUUGUGAUGAUGCAAUCUCCCCGCGGCUAGACGGAAAGACCCCAUGAACCUUUACUGUAGCUUUGCAUUGGACUUUGAACCGAUCUGUGUAGGAUAGGUGGGAGGCUAUGAAACCGGAACGCUAGUUUCGGUGGAGCCGUCCUUGAAAUACCACCCUGGUUUGUUUGAGGUUCUAACCUUGGCCCGUGAUCCGGGUCGGGGACAGUGCAUGGUAGGCAGUUUGACUGGGGCGGUCUCCUCCCAAAGUGUAACGGAGGAGUACGAAGGUACGCUAGGUACGGUCGGAAAUCGUGCUGAUAGUGCAAUGGCAUAAGCGUGCUUAACUGCGAGACCGACAAGUCGAGCAGGUGCGAAAGCAGGUCAUAGUGAUCCGGUGGUUCUGUAUGGAAGGGCCAUCGCUCAACGGAUAAAAGGUACUCUGGGGAUAACAGGCUGAUACCGCCCAAGAGUUCAUAUCGACGGCGGUGUUUGGCACCUCGAUGUCGGCUCAUCUCAUCCUGGGGCUGUAGCCGGUCCCAAGGGUAUGGCUGUUCGCCAUUUAAAGAGGUACGUGAGCUGGGUUUAAAACGUCGUGAGACAGUUUGGUCCCUAUCUGCCGUGGGCGUUGGAUAUUUGAAGGGGGCUGCUCCUAGUACGAGAGGACCGGAGUGGACGAACCUCUGGUGUACCGGUUGUCACGCCAGUGGCAUCGCCGGGUAGCUAUGUUCGGAAGAGAUAACCGCUGAAAGCAUCUAAGCGGGAAACUCGCCUUAAGAUGAGAUAUCCCCGGGGACUUGAUCCCCUUGAAGGGUCGUUCGAGACCAGGACGUUGAUAGGUCAGGUGUGUAAGCGCAGUAAUGCGUUCAGCUAACUGAUACUAAUUGCCCGUAAGGCUUGAUCC
rnacentral:rRNA from 1 species